AACCCUUAUUGCUAGUUACCAUCAUUGAUUGGGGACUCUAGCGAGACUGCCAGCGAUAAGCUGGAGGAAGGUGGGGAUGACGUCAAAUCAUCAUGCCCCUUAUGACCUGGGCUACAAACGUGAUACAAUGGCUGGAACAAAGGGAGGCGAAGGGGUGACCUGGAGCGAAACCCAAAAAUACAGUCUCAGUUCGGAUUGAAGUCUGCAACUCGACUUCAUGAAGUCGGAAUCGCUAGUAAUCGCGGAUCAGAACGCCGCGGUGAAUACGUUCUCGGGGUUU
rnacentral:rRNA from 1 species